rnacentral:lncRNA from 1 species
UCCAAGUAUUUGAGAUGUGAUGAAGUAUAUAUAUAUGAUAAUAUUGAACUUGUUGAAAAGUAAAUGACAAUACAGAUUCGUGAAGAUUGAGAUGAUUGCAGAAUGUAGAUGCUGAAGAUGAUGAAGACGAUGGACAGAUCGGAUGAAUGAUCUCCAGGUGAAGAACAAGCUUGACCAGAUGAUUUGAAUUCAGAGGACAGAUUGCAGAUUCCAGAGAACAGAUUGAAGAAGAUAGAGAUGGUGAUUUUGGGACCAAGAACUUGAAUCCAAAACCUAAAGAUUAAGUUGUGAUGGUUCAUAUUUGUAGAGGUAAGGACCCAACGGCUAUGAGGGUUUUAGGUGGGUUUGGUAGGUGUGUUUAAUUGUGAUAAUAAAUAGGAUUAGGAAAUGUGUAUAUUAGGGAGUAAUGUAUUAUGGAGUAGGUGUAUAUUUGAAAAGAUAUUUUUGGCUAUUAAGUAAUAGGAUAUAUAUGUUUUUAUAAAGACUUGUAUGAUAUUUUCACAAUAAUUCUAAUAGUCCCCUUCGAAAAUAAGGUCAUAAGCUACUAAGGUUUGGGCUAGUACUUGGGUUAUGGGCUUAUAUUCGGAUGAUGUGUGUAUUUGGUUAAAUGGAUGGGAUAUAUAUGGGUAUUAGUGUAUCUGGAUAUGUGGGUGUUUGGUUAUUCGGAUAUGGGUAUGCGGAUAUUUAGGUUUAAUGUGUUCCUAUAAAAGGGUGUGUUUGUGGGGUUUUUCUUUUUGAUUGGUGGUGCUAGGGUUUUGGUUUGGUUUGGCGGGAGUCGCUUUGUUUCACAGGUUUUCUUCCCUUCCUUCUCCUUCUUGCAUUUUAUUUUCUGCUCUUCCUUGAUGUAUGUUAUUCAUUCCGAGUUGCAUCAGUAGUGUUUUGUAUAGUGUUCCCGUUACUGGUUUUGUGAACAUAUCGGCUACAUUCAUUUUUGAGUCUACUCUGUCUAUUUUCAAAUUUUUUCCAUGAUUUUGUCGCGCACUGUGUGAAUGUCGAUCUCGAUGUGUUUUGUUCUUUGAUGUAGUACUGGAUUUUUUGCUAUUGCUAUUGCUGUCUGUGUAGAGUAUUGGGGUCUCAUUUUUGUAGGUUCCGAUUUCUUUUAGUAGGUUGAUGAUCCAUGUUAUAUCGCAACUUGUGUAUGCUAAUGCCCUGUACUCUGCUGAUGACCGAGCAACUGUGUGUUGUUUCUUUGUUUGCCAUGAUAUUAGGGACCCUCCAAGAAAGAUGGCGAACCCUAUUGUUGAUCUCCUUGUUGAAGGGCAUGAUGCCCAGUCAGAGUCUGAGAAGGCUCUUAACCCUGAAGUGUUGGACCCUGAGAAGGCGACAGCAAAACCAGGUGAUUGUUUAAUAUAUCUUAGCACUUUAUGUGCUGCAUUUAGGUCCUUUUGCCUUGGUUUGGCCAUGUUUUGGCUUAAUGUAUUUACUGCGUAUGUUAUGUCUGGUCUUGUUACUGUUAGGUAUACCAAUUUUGUAUGACAGGAGAGGGUGUCCUGUUUAUUAAGUAACUUGCUGUUAAUAUGCAUUCUCCCCAGUAUUUUAUUGGUGUUUGGGAGUGAAACAUUAUGCUUUUAGCUACAUCUAGUAGGUGUCUAUGUUUUCUUUCUACAAUAGAGUUUUGUUGGGGGGUAUAUGGACAUGUCAACUGAUGUCUUAUGUCAUAUUUUGCUAGAAAUAUCUUGAACUCCUGGGAUUGGAAUUCAGUUCUAUUGUCACUCCUUAUGGUUCUUAUCUUCGUUUUGAAUUGAUUCAUUGCUUCUAUUGUGAAGUUUUUGAAGAUUUCAUAAGUAUUGCUUUUGUUUCUCAUUAGUAUUGUCCAUGUUGCCCUAGAAAAAUCGUUCACUAUGGUCAUAAAAUAUUUAUGUCCUUUGUGGGUUGGUUCUUUGUAGGGGCCUCAUAGGUCUAUAUGUAGCAAUUCAAAAAUCCCUGAGGUUUUAGUAUUGCUAGAGGGAAAAGAGAAUCUAGUAUGUUUUGCCAUUGGGCAUUCAUUACAAAAUGCAUUCUCCAAUUUUGGUAAAUAAGCAAUGUUUUUUCUAAUUAAAUCAUAUCUAAUCUGGGAUGGGUGUCCCAGUCUCUUGUGCCAAAUGUUUGCUGAUGGUGCUCUGUUGACAGCAUACGACCUUGGUUGUUCCAGGGCUUCUUUUCUUCCAUUCAGCAUGUAGAGCCCAUCGAUCCUUUUACCCAUAGAAAUCAAUCUCAUCUUCGAAUCCUGUAUCAAACAAUGAUCAGGGUGAAAUGAGAAGCUACAUUUUAACUGCUUUGUAAGUUUUGUUACUGAUAUCAAAUUUACAUUGAAGUUAGUAAUCUGUAGUACAUUGUGUAAUGUUAAUAGAUCGUCUAUUUUGUAAUUCCCAAUGUAUCUCACAGUUGUUGUUUGUGAGUUUGGGAGGUUUACAACAAUAGGUUUUACUAAUGCCCUUUUUCACUUAGUGUGAUGGCUGGUCCACACAUGUGAUCUGUGGCUCCACUGUCUAUUAUCCAGUCAGUGGUGUUUUUAGUUUUUGUAUUGAAACAGAGUGAUUCUUGGGGCUUACCAGUAUGGUUUGGGUUCAUUUCUGGUUGUGCUUGUGCUCUGCCCAUAUGUACAGAAUGUUUUUCCUCUCCUGCUUGUUGAUUUUGAUUUUGGUUAAGGAGGGAUCUUAGCUGUUCCAUUAUGUCUUGAUUGUUUUGAUUCCCACUCUGAUAUUCAGGUUGGCUAGCGUUGUUGUUUUGAUAUCCAUUGUCGUUUUCAGUUGUGUAAUACUCCUGGUUUAUUUCUUCCAUUGUGUAGUUGUUUUCAUUUUCCUGCCAUUGUUGGUUUUCAACUUCCUCAGAGUAGUUGUUGUAUGCCCUGGUCUGUGGUCUGAAAUUGUUGUUGAAGUUUCUGCCUCUUUGAUAGUUGUGGCCUCUAGUUGGUUGUCCAGAUGGUCUGAAGGGUGGUCUUCUUUGUUGAUUGAAUUGUGGUUGGAAGGAUGAUCUGGGAUUUUGUUGAUUAUUUACAUAUGCUGGUCUUUCUGCAGGGUAACCAUGCAAUUGGUAGCAUGUAUUGAUUGUGUGUCCUGGCCUUUUACAGCCAGUGCCGUAGGGUCUUUCAUUCUGUGGCCUUGGUGGUCUGAGGUCCUUGUGCUAGUAGUGUUGUUGCUGAUUCUUUUGGUGUCUCCAUGUCCUUUGUUUGUUCAUCUUGGGUCACCAUUGAAUAAGCUCUGUUUAGAUCAGGCUGAGGAUCCAUUUGCAUUAUUUGUCUGUUUAGCUGUUUAUAAGUCUCAUUUAGUCCAUUCAGGAACUUUAUGAGUCUUUCUUCUUGUAUCACUUCUACACUUUUUCUGCUCAUGUCGUAUUCAUUCCAUAGUUUUGUCAGUUUUGUGUAGUAGUUGCAGACUGAAUCUUCUCCUUGUGUGAGAUUCAUGAUUUUUACUUGUAACUGGAAAACUAGUGGUCCAUUUUGUAUGUGGAAUCUUGCUUUCAAUUCCUUCCAUAGCAGAUGUGCUGAUUUAUAGAAGAUGAAAGCUGGAGAGAGUUCUUGACUCAGUCCGUUUAGUAUCCAAGACCUUACUAGAGCAUCAGUUGCUUUCCAUCUCUCGUAUUCUUUCUCAUUUGUUUGUUCGGGAGUGGGUAUUUCACCUGUUAAGAACUUCUCCUUGUUUUUGGAUUCCACAGCUAUAACAAACUGUGCACUCCAAAUGUUCCAGUUGUUUCCAUCCAUCUUGAAUGGUACUAACUGGAUUCCUGGAUUGUCUGAAUAUGUUGGAAUAACAUUUUCAUUUGACAUUUUGUUUCUGAAAAAUAAAUAAAUGCAGAUGAUCAGAAUGAUGCUGGAAAAUAUCAGGACAUAGGUGGUGCUGCUAUGGAAUGUGUCGAUCAUGUGGUGGUGCCAAGACAGUUUCCUGUUUAUCAACCUUCUUUUGAUCCUGUGGCUUGGAAAAAUGCAGCUUGGGCUGGAAGAGUGUUUGAGGACCCUAGGAGCUGGUGGGUUGAAUAUAUGAGAAAUAAUGAAGAUCCUGAUUUUGUGGAUGAUGAUCCAGAUCAGGGACCACAACCACUUGACAAUGAUCCUGAUGAUGAAGAACCUGAUGGUUUUGAUGAAGACUGGAAUGUUGAUGAGGGAGCUGGUGGUGUUUAUGGACUUAGUGAUGAUGAGAAGGCUAGGGAAAGUGAAGACUACUGUAUUUUUAAGUGUGAGGAAAAGGAUUGUGUGAGGAUGCUGAGGCGUAGGAGGAUGAAGGCAAGGUUGAGAGCUCACUAUAAGGAAAAAGCUCUGGACCUUGGAGUUUGGGAUGGGGAGUAUCCUCCUCGUCUAAUGAUGAGUCCUUAGUUGAAUGAUAAAAAACUUUCUGAAACCUUUUGACAAUUUGUAAAAAAACUUGAAAUGAAAGAAGAAAUACUGAUUACUUGUGGAGAGAAAAAAGAAAUAUGUGAUGGAUGUAUGAUAUUAUUAUGGAUGUAUUAUACUAUGAUGAAUAUCCUCUGUUUUCCCUUUUUCAGGUGUGAAGACUGAACAGAUGACUGAUAUGGAUCGUAUCUUGGAUGGUAUGGAUGAUUUAUGGAGUGAUCCUUCUUCUGCUAUGAGUCUGUAUAGUAUCAAACAACUAUCACAGCAGAUUACUGACAAGAUAGAUCGUAUGGAUGGUGAGAUUGAUCCUGAUUAUGGACUGUUUCUUUUAAUGAAGCUAAAAAGGGAGGCUGAUCUUGUGAUCAGUAAGUGAAAAACCAAAUUAACUUAUGAAGGAAAACUUUUAUCUUUUGAAAGAAAAAAAAUGUUGUUAUAUGAUUAGCAAGAUCUUUUACCGCUCUGAUACCAUGUUAGAAUUGUAUAAUUAUGAUGUAUGAUUAUCCAAGUAUUUGAGAUGUGAUGAAGUAUAUAUAUAUGAUAAUAUUGAACUUGUUGAAAAGUAAAUGACAAUACAGAUUCGUGAAGAUUGAGAUGAUUGCAGAAUGUAGAUGCUGGAGAUGAUGAAGACGAUGAACAGAUCGGAUGAAUGAUCUCCAGGUGAAAAACAAGCUUGACCAGAUGAUUUGAAUUCAGAGGACAGAUUGCAGAUUCCAGAGAACAGAUUGAAGAAGAUAGAGAUGGUGAUUUUGGGACCAAGAACUUGAAUCCAAAACCUAAAGAUUAAGUUGUGAUGGUUCAUAUUUGUAGAGGUAAGGACCCAACGGUUAUGAGGGUUUUAGGUGGGUUUGGUAGGUGUGUUUAAUUAUGGUAAUAAAUAGGAUUAGGAAAUGUGUAUAUUAGGGAGUAAUGUAUUAGGGAGUAGGUGUAUAUUUGAAAAGAUAUUGUUGGCUACUAAGUAAUAUGAUAUAUAUGUUUUUAUAAAGACUUGUAU